GAUGAACGCUAGCGGCAGGCCUAACACAUGCAAGUCGAGGGGCAGCACAGGAAAGUAGUAAUACUUUUGGGUGGCGACCGGCGGACAGGUGCGUAACGCGUAUACAACCUGCCUUCUACUGGGGGAUAAUUCGGAGAAAUCUGGUCUAAUACCCCAUAACAACCGAUGAGGCAUCUCAUUGGUUUAAAAGCUCCGGCGGUAGAAGAUGGGUAUGCGUGACAUUAGAUAGUUGGUGGGGUAACGGCUCACCAAGGCGACGAUGUCUAGGGGGACUGAGAGGUUAACCCCCCACACUGGUACUGAGACACGGACCAGACUCCUACGGGAGGCAGCAGUGAGGAAUAUUGGUCAAUGGACGCAAGUCUGAACCAGCCAUGCCGCGUGCAGGAAGACGGCUCUAUGAGUUGUAAACUGCUUUUACAAGGGGAUAAAUCGGUGUACGUGUACACCGUUGAAGGUACCUUGGGAAUAAGGAUCGGCUAACUCCGUGCCAGCCGCCGCCGUAA
rnacentral:rRNA from 1 species